rnacentral:rRNA from 1 species
UACGGAGGGGGCUAGCGUUGUUCGGAAUUACUGGGCGUAAAGCGCACGUAGGCGGCUUUGUAAGUUAGAGGUGAAAGCCCGGAGCUCAACUCCGGAAUUGCCUUUAAGACUGCAUCGCUUGAAUCAUGGAGAGGUGAGUGGAAUUCCGAGUGUAGAGGUGAAAUUUGUAGAUAUUCGGAAGAACACCAGUGGCGAAGGCGACUCACUGGACAUGUAUUGACGCUGAGGUGCGAAAGCGUGGGGAGCAAACAGG